rnacentral:rRNA from 1 species
GAUGAACGCUGACAGAAUGCUUAACACAUGCAAGUCUUUGGCGAAUCUGUGCUUGCACAGGCUAGCCAAGGCGGACGGGUGAGUAACGCGUAAAGAACUUGCCCUGCAGACAGGGAUAACAGACGGAAACGACUGAUAACACCUGAUACAGUUGCCGGCACGCAUGUGCCUGGCAAUGAAAAGAGAUGCUGCAGGAGAGCUUUGCGUCCUAUUAGCUUGUUGGUGAGGUGACGGCUCACCAAGGCGAUGAUAGGUAGCCGGCCUGAGGGGGUGAACGGCCACAAGGGGACUGAGAUACGGCCCUUACUCCUACGGGAGGCAGCAGUGGGGAAUAUUGGACAAUGGGGGCAACCCUGAUCCAGCAAUUCUGUGUGCACGAAGAAGGUUUUCGGAUUGUAAAGUGCUUUCAGCAGGGAAGAAGAAAGUGACGGUACCUGCAGAAGAAGCGACGGCUAAAUACGUG